rnacentral:tRNA from 1 species
GUGGCUGUGGCUCAGUGGCAGAGCACUUGCCUAGUUUGUAUGAGGCACUGGAUUCGAUUCUUAGCACCACA